UUCUUGCCACCUUUGAUGCCCACAUUAGAGGACCUAAGGACACAAUUGGAGAAACUGGUUAUUUACCAAGGCUUUGACUGGAAUGGCAUACUUUCAGAUACAAACAGACUCUUUUAAAGAAUCAAAGUUGACUUAUAAAGCCAAUAAAAGCUUCUUGGGAAAUUUGGCCCCAUACUUUGUCUAGGCAGUCCCUGCUCAGGGUUUCUGGCCUAUGAGGCCUCACCCAUCUGCAAUGUCACUUCCUAGAUGGGAUGCAACUACAAAACUAAUCUACUCUCAAGAACUAGACAGGAUUAUGACUGCCUUCAUGAGUAUUCACAGUUCUUCCUGUAACCUGUUGAAUAUACACUUAGCCAAUCUUUCAUCACAACCAGUUACUAUUAGAAAUGGGGAGCAUGCCUUAUAAUUAAGACUAACUUCUGUGUAUACAUCCCAG
rnacentral:lncRNA from 10 species